AAAACAAACCAGGCGUGUCUUUGAAGACGGGGUGCGUUUUUAGUUUUAUAUAUUUUUAUUCAAGUCUGUGAUCUUCUUUAAAUAGUCUCGAGCAGCAGAUAAACAUGGAAUCUAAUGGAUGAUCAGCUUCCCAACUGAAGGGAUCUACCUCUGCGUCUUCCUGCAACAUUGCCUUCCAUACUUAUUCAGUAACAGGUUUGACUGACUCUUUCUCUGUGUCUCAGAUGAGGAGGAUGUGAAGCUCAGGACUGGUCAUCACAUCGUCUACACAUCAAUCUACAGACAAACAUCACAUUUGAAUAAAGAUUUAAUGAUGAAA